rnacentral:rRNA from 1 species
AACGAACGCUGGCGGCAUGCCUAACACAUGCAAGUCGAACGAGACCUUCGGGUAUAGUGGCGCACGGGUGCGUAACGCGAGGGAACCUGCCCUUAGGUUCGGAAUAACUCCCCGAAAGGGGUGCUAAUACCGGAUAAUGUCUUCGGACCAAAGAUUUAUCGCCUUUGGAUGGGCCCGCGUUGGAUUAGCUAGUUGGUAGGGUAAAAGCCUACCAAGGCGACGAUCCAUAGCUGGUCUGAGAGGAUGAUCAGCCACACUGGGACUGAGACACGGCCCAGACUCCUACGGGAGGCAGCAGUGGGGAAUAUUGGACGAUGGGCGAAAGCCUGAUCCAGCAAUGCCGCGUGAGUGAUGAAGGCCUUAGGGUUGUAAAGCUCUUUUACCCGGGAUGAUAAUGACAGUACCGGGAGAAUAAGCUCCGGCUAACUCCGUG